rnacentral:rRNA from 1 species
GGGCUUGACAUCCCACGAACCUGCCUGAAAGGGCGGGGUGCCCGCAAGGGAGCGUGGAGACAGGUGGUGCAUGGCUGUCGUCAGCUCGUGUCGUGAGAUGUUGGGUUAAGUCCCGCAACGAGCGCAACCCUCACCCCUAGUUGCCACCGGGUAAAGCCGAGCACUCGAGGGGAACUGCCAGCGUCAAGCUGGAGGAAGGCGGGGAUGACGUCAAGUCAUCAUGCCCCUUACGCCCUGGGCUACACACGUGCUACAAUGGCCAGUACAAAGGGACGCGAGACUGCAAGGUGGAGCUAAUCCCAAAAAACUGGUCUAAGUUCAGAUUGCAGUCUGCAACUCGACUGCAUGAAGGAGGAAUCGCUAGUAAUCGCGCAUCAGCACGGCGCGGUGAAUACGUUCCCGGGCCUUGUACACACCGCCCGUCACACCACGAAAGCUGUCUGUACUCGAAGUCGCUGAGA